GAGUUUGAUCCUGGCUCAGAUUGAACGCUGGCGGCAGGCCUAACACAUGCAAGUCGAACGGUAACAGGAAGCAGCUUGCUGCUUCGCUGACGAGUGGCGGACGGGUGAGUAAUGUCUGGGAAGCUGCCUGAUGGAGGGGGAUAACUACUGGAAACGGUAGCUAAUACCGCAUAAUGUCGCAAGACCAAAGAGGGGGACCUUCGGGCCUCUUGCCAUCGGAUGUGCCCAGAUGGGAUUAGCUUGUUGGUGGGGUAACGGCUCACCAAGGCGACGAUCCCUAGCUGGUCUGAGAGGAUGACCAGCCACACUGGAACUGAGACACGGUCCAGACUCCUACGGGAGGCAGCAGUGGGGAAUAUUGCACAAUGGGCGCAAGCCUGAUGCAGCCAUGCCGCGUGUAUGAAGAAGGCCUUCGGGUUGUAAAGUACUUUCAGCGGGGAGGAAGGGAGUAAAGUUAAUACCUUUGCUCAUUGACGUUACCCGCAGAAGAAGCACCGGCUAACUCCGUGCCAGCAGCCGCGGUAAUACGGAGGGUGCAAGCGUUAAUCGGAAUUACUGGGCGUAAAGCGCACGCAGGCGGUUUGUUAAGUCAGAUGUGAAAUCCCCGGGCUCAACCUGGGAACUGCAUCUGAUACUGGCAAGCUUGAGUCUCGUAGAGGGGGGUAGAAUUCCAGGUGUAGCGGUGAAAUGCGUAGAGAUCUGGAGGAAUACCGGUGGCGAAGGCGGCCCCCUGGACGAAGACUGACGCUCAGGUGCGAAAGCGUGGGGAGCAAACAGGAUUAGAUACCCUGGUAGUCCACGCCGUAAACGAUGUCGACUUGGAGGUUGUGCCCUUGAGGCGUGGCUUCCGGAGCUAACGCGUUAAGUCGACCGCCUGGGGAGUACGGCCGCAAGGUUAAAACUCAAAUGAAUUGACGGGGGCCCGCACAAGCGGUGGAGCAUGUGGUUUAAUUCGAUGCAACGCGAAGAACCUUACCUGGUCUUGACAUCCACGGAAGUUUUCAGAGAUGAGAAUGUGCCUUCGGGAACCGUGAGACAGGUGCUGCAUGGCUGUCGUCAGCUCGUGUUGUGAAAUGUUGGGUUAAGUCCCGCAACGAGCGCAACCCUUAUCCUUUGUUGCCAGCGGUCCGGCCGGGAACUCAAAGGAGACUGCCAGUGAUAAACUGGAGGAAGGUGGGGAUGACGUCAAGUCAUCAUGGCCCUUACGACCAGGGCUACACACGUGCUACAAUGGCGCAUACAAAGAGAAGCGACCUCGCGAGAGCAAGCGGACCUCAUAAAGUGCGUCGUAGUCCGGAUUGGAGUCUGCAACUCGACUCCAUGAAGUCGGAAUCGCUAGUAAUCGUGGAUCAGAAUGCCACGGUGAAUACGUUCCCGGGCCUUGUACACACCGCCCGUCACACCAUGGGAGUGGGUUGCAAAAGAAGUAGGUAGCUUAACCUUCGGGAGGGCGCUUACCACUUUGUGAUUCAUGACUGGGGUGAAGUCGUAACAAGGUAGCCGUAA
rnacentral:rRNA from 1 species